rnacentral:tRNA from 1 species
AUUUAUGUAGUUUAAAUAAAACAUUACAUUUUCAUUGUAAAAUAAUCAUAAGCAUGUUCUUAAAUA